CGGACGGGUGAGUAAUGUCUGGGGAAACUGCCUGAUGGAGGGGGAUAACUACUGGAAACGGUAGCUAAUACCGCAUAACGUCGCAAGACCAAAGAGGGGGACCUUCGGGCCUCUUGCCAUCGGAUGUGCCCAGAUGGGAUUAGCUAGUAGGUGGGGUAACGGCUCACCUAGGCGACGAUCCCUAGCUGGUCUGAGAGGAUGACCAGCCACACUGGAACUGAGACACGGUCCAG
rnacentral:rRNA from 1 species